CAAAAAAACCGGACGCAAUCCCAAGUAGAUCCAACGGUUCAUUAGACAUCGCCGUGUGUACGUGAAACCCUGUAUACGUCUCUUCGUCUAAAAUUCUUGAAUAUCCUUUCCUUUUACUUCGUUAAAUUCUUCACCAAAUACUCUUUUACACCCCAUUUUUCUUUUUUCCUUUCUGCUUCACACUUUUACUUUUUGCAUGGCGAAUCCUAAUAUUGUAAUUAAGCAAGAAGUUGUGGAAGGGUUUAUGAAGAAGAAGCCGCCGGCGGUUUCUUCACCGGCGACUCAAUCGGUGUUUAUUGACCUAAGCAGUAGUGACGACUCCGAUUCUGAUUCGGACGGUUUUGUUGGCAGUAAUAGGCCGAAGAAGAAAAGGAAGAGUGUGGAGGAUGUGAAUUUCCCAUUGCCUUUUGGUGAAAUAAUAGGGCGGUUUCUUCACCGGCGACUCAAUCGGUAUUUAUUGACCUAAGCAGUAGUGACGACUCCGAUUCUGAUUCGGACGGUUUUGUUGGCAGUAAUAGGCCGAAGAAGAAAAGGAAGAGUGUGGAGGAUGUGAAUUUCCCAUUGCCUUUGGGAUUUUUGGAUCCUUUGCCUCCACCUAAAGAAACCCCGUUGCCUUUACCGGCUCCGCCGCUUAAUGGAAGCAAUAAUAAGGAGUUAGGUUCUUCUUCGGAGAGUAGGCAAUUUUGGAAGGCUGGAGAUUAUGAAGGGACUUCUUCUUCUACUUCCGGAUUAUCUUCAG
rnacentral:lncRNA from 1 species